AUUGAACGCUGGCGGCAUGCUUUACACAUGCAAGUCGAACGGUAACAGGUCUUCGGAUGCUGACGAGUGGCGAACGGGUGAGUAAUGUAUCGGAACGUGCCCAGUCGUGGGGGAUAACUACUCGAAAGAGUGGCUAAUACCGCAUACGACCUGAGGGUGAAAGCGGGGGACCGUAAGGCCUCGCGCGAUUGGAGCGGCCGAUAUCAGAUUAGCUAGUUGGUGGGGUAAAGGCCUACCAAGGCAACGAUCUGUAGUUGGUCUGAGAGGACGACCAGCCACACUGGGACUGAGACACGGCCCAGACUCCUACGGGAGGCAGCAGUGGGGAAUUUUGGACAAUGGGCGCAAGCCUGAUCCAGCAAUGCCGCGUGCAGGAAGAAGGCCUUCGGGUUGUAAACUGCUUUUGUCAGGGAAGAAAUCCUCUAGGUUAAUACCCUUGGGGGGAUGACGGUACCUGAAGAAUAGGCACCGGCUAACUACGUGCCAGCAGCCGCCGUAAGAC
rnacentral:rRNA from 1 species